CAUGGACACAUGACAAAACAAUGGUGUGUGGGGUAUUAAAUAGCUGAGGUCAAAUGGGUGGUAGGGCAUUGGAUAUGAGCAGUGAUGUGCUGGGUACACUAGCUCUCAAAACAACAACCACAAUAGCCUGAUUUGGAGUGCUUGCCAAUCUUGUGUACAUACUCCUACAUGACUGCCUUCCAGCUACCACUGCAACGUCUCUGAGAAGAAGGCAUGACGUUCUGUACCUGACACACCAGGGCCCCUUCACAUGUGUGUGUGAAAGGCCUCAGCGGCCUGAGCCUGGAGCAGCCACGCGCCUGGACGGUGGGGAAAGUUCGAGGUACCAACGAUUGGGGUGGUCUGGGUCCCAGGCUAUCCAAAGCACACAGCUCAAAGUAAGAGAAAACCACUGUCUCCUACUCUGAAUUUUCUGAACAUAAAAAGCAAUUUCAAAUAGGGGGAGGAAAUAAAUCUUGGCAUUCUGUAAGUUUUCCCUUAUUAAGGACAUUCAGUGGCUUUGGUUUAUGGCUCUGUGUGUGUGUGUGUGUGUGUGUGUGUAUUUUUUCCCCCUCACUACUGUUUUCCUCUCUCCUUCCUUUUUAGUCAAAAUGUCAUGGUGCCAACCAGAUCUAAGUUCUGAGAAGUCUUGUUCUGGAUCACUGGAUGGUUCUGAAGGAGGAGGAAUUGUUUCUUGAUAAUGUGUCAACUCUUGAGGGCCAAGACCCUGCCAUAUUUCCCGUGGGCUCUGGUGAGGUACUGAGUGAACCAAUGAGGGAGCAACAUCAUUGUGACAUGUUUUCCCACCUCACAAUUCCCAUCAGGCUUUGUCAGAGGGACCCCUGCCCUGGCUAUACACUAGUGCUUAAGCCUCAGUCAGGGGGGCUGGGAGCUUGUCCCUGUAUAAUUCAGCAGAAGAGUUUAAGAACACCAUCAUGGGCGUUCUUAAGGAACACCAACCAUGUGCCCGGUGCUGCGGAGAGCACGCUACACAAGCAAUGCGAUCUGUGUUUGGGGGCGUCCUCUCCCCAGCUGUCCCCCACCGGUGUCCGUGGCUGGCAUCCUGCCUUGGCACAUGAGACCUGCACAGCAGCAUGGCUCCCCCACUUACUAGUCUCAGCUGAAUUGUCCUGGGACCACUUGAAAUGUGAUUUAUUUGUUGCUGGGCCAGUAGAAGGUUCCAUGUAG
rnacentral:lncRNA from 1 species